rnacentral:rRNA from 1 species
AUUGAACGCUGGCGGCAGGCCUAACACAUGCAAGUCGAGCGGAAACGAGUUACCUGAACCUUCGGGGAACGAUAACGGCGUCGAGCGGCGGACGGGUGAGUAAUGCCUAGGAAAUUGCCCUGAUGUGGGGGAUAACCAUUGGAAACGAUGGCUAAUACCGCAUGAUGCCUACGGGCCAAAGAGGGGGACCUUCGGGCCUCUCGCGUCAGGAUAUGCCUAGGUGGGAUUAGCUAGUUGGUGAGGUAAGGGCUCACCAAGGCGACGAUCCCUAGCUGGUCUGAGAGGAUGAUCAGCCACACUGGAACUGAGACACGGUCCAGACUCCUACGGGAGGCAGCAGUGGGGAAUAUUGCACAAUGGGCGCAAGCCUGAUGCAGCCAUGCCGCGUGUGUGAAGAAGGCCUUCGGGUUGUAAAGCACUUUCAGUCGUGAGGAAGGUAGUGUAGUUAAUAGCUGCAUUAUUUGACGUUAGCGACAGAAGAAGCACCGGCUAACUCCGUGCCAGCAGCCGCGGUAAUACGGAGGGUGCGAGCGUUAAUCGGAAUUACUGGGCGUAAAGCGCAUGCAGGUGGUUUGUUAAGUCAGAUGUGAAAGCCCGGGGCUCAACCUCGGAAUUGCAUUUGAAACUGGCAGACUAGAGUACUGUAGAGGGGGGUAGAAUUUCAGGUGUAGCGGUGAAAUGCGUAGAGAUCUGAAGGAAUACCGGUGGCGAAGGCGGCCCCCUGGACAGAUACUGACACUCAGAUGCGAAAGCGUGGGGAGCAAACAGG